GACGAACGCUGGCGGCGUGCCUAAUACAUGCAAGUCGAGCGGACUCAUCCCUUCGGGGAUGGGUUAGCGGCGGACGGGUGAGUAACACGUAGGUAACCUGCCUGUAAGAUCGGGAUAACUAUCGGAAACGAUAGCUAAGACCGAAUAAUUGGUUCCCUCGCAUGGGGGAAACAUGAAACACGGUGCAAGCUGUGGCUUACGGAUGGGCCUGCGGCGCAUUAGCUAGUUGGAGGGUAAUGGCCUACCAAGGCGACGAUGCGUAGCCGACCUGAGAGGGUGAACGGCCACACUGGGACUGAGACACGGCCCAGACUCCUACGGGAGGCAGCAGUAGGGAAUCUUCCGCAAUGGACGCAAGUCUGACGGAGCAACGCCGCGUGAGUGAUGAAGGUUUUCGGAUCGUAAAGCUCUGUUGCCCUAGACGAACAGCAAGGGGAGUAACUGCCCUCUGUGUGACGGUA
rnacentral:rRNA from 1 species